AUUAGUUAAUUUGAUCUAUGGUUUAGGAGGUUAGUCUGAAAAUUUUAUUCUUGUUUAAUUAUUUAUUUCUUGAAUAUUUUACAUGUAAAUUUUAGUGGGAGAUUAUUUAAUCUAAAAGGUUAAAGUUUAUUCGCAGUAUUAAGUAUUAAUAAAUCAGGUUGAUCUGGAAUUAGUAAUUUAGUUUAAUAUUGGCUAAAGAUCGUGCCAGCUGCCGCGGUUAUACGUGGAAUGUAAGUAAAUAUAUUCGGUUUGAAGUUAAAUUGUAAUAAGUUAAAUGUAAAUUUGUUUUUGAAGGUGGAAUUUAAUAGACUGAAAUUAUUUUAAGUUAAGUUAUAUUGAGGCUUUGAAAUUUUAAUAUUAAACUAGGAUUAGAUACCCUAUUAUAUAAAAAGUAAAUAUUUAAAUGCUAGGGUAGUAGUAGUUAAGUUCUUGAAACCCAAAGAAUUUGGCGGUGCUUUAGUCUUGUCAGAGGAAUUUGUCCUGUAAUUGAUAAUACGCGUUUUAUUUUACUUGGUCUUGAAGGUUCAGUUUGUAUACCGCCGUCAUAAGAAUAUCUUUAGAGGGUAAUUUUCUUAAUUUUUAAUUUAAAAAUAUGUCAGGUCAAGGUGCAGCUUAUGAUUAAGUAGAGAUGAAUUACAAUGAAGUGAUUUAUUGACGGAUUUUUCUUUGAGAAAAGAAAUUGAAGGUGGAUUUGAAAGUAAUAAUGUUUUAUUAUAUCAUUAUGAUUAAGCUCUAAAUCAUGUACACAUCGCCCGUCGCUCUCGUUAUAAUAUGAGAUAAGUCGUAACAAAGUAGGUGUACUGGAAAGUGUACCUAAGAAGUU
rnacentral:ncRNA from 1 species